rnacentral:rRNA from 1 species
ACGAAGGGGGCUAGCGUUGCUCGGAAUUACUGGGCGUAAAGGGAGCGUAGGCGGCCGUUUAAGUUAGGGAUGAAAUCCCGGGGCUCAACCUCGGAAUUGCCUUUGAUACUGGGUGUCUUGAGUAUAGGAGAGGAGUGUGGAAUUCCGAGUGUAGAGGUGAAAUUCGUAGAUAUUCGGAGGAACACCAGAGGCGAAGGCGACUCUCUGGCUCAGUACUGACGCUGAGGCUCGAAAGCGUGGGGAGCAAACAG